UUGGUGACAGCUUGUGUCCAGCAUGGUGGCCAGAGAGCUUAGGAAACAUCUUCACCCUGCUGGACGGCUCUUGGUCUGGUUGGCUUCUCCCCUUCCUUUCCCCUCCCUGCAAAGAGGUGCACCAUCAGAUGUCCUCAUCAUCCACUGUGGCGGCAACAGCAUUUAAGGACGUGUGACGGCCCCUGCUUAGUCUACUUCUACCUGAUAUGGAGCGCCUGGGCCCAGUUUGCUACAGGAUAUAAAAGUCCCACAUUCCAUUGUGGCUGGCUGUCUCCCUGACAGCACCUGCACCUUACUGCUUUGCUGAACCAUUGUUUUUAUUUUUACUCCACACCUAAUCCCACAGUAUAUGAACACUACUUAUUUUCCACUGUUACUAUCCAGGUUCCAUUAUCAUAAUUACUGUUACAACUAUUACACAUUUUUAUUUAUUUAAGUGUAUUAACUGUCCAUUAUUUCAAGUCAUACAAAACAACAAUUUUAACCUUUUUACUGGUGUUUUCAUGAAUGCAGGAUAGGAUUUUAUAAUAAUGAGAUGGUAUUUAUAGUAUUGGUAUGUAUGGUAUUUAACAUGUUGAAUCUCUUUUUGCAGAAAGUAAAAAAUGGAAAGCAAGAGACCAGUGUGAAAUCAACUUAGAAGUUUUAUAAAUAGCUUCUCAAUAAAUAGUUUUGAAGCUCCCUAGGAGGUGUCAUUUAUUGUGACCUCUGAGAAGUCUUGUAGAUAUUGCACAGGUAUUGUGAGGCUUUACCCGUUUAGUGAGGCAAAAGGAAAAAAACUAAAUCAGCUGAUAGAAAGCACCUAUUAAUCAGAGGUGCACAUCAGCUGAUUGUUUGUCUUUGCCUCCCUGUUAAACCUUCAUGAUAGUGUAUUUGCCUGAGAAGACCUCAGAGUUUGAAACAUUGCAAUAAAUGAUACUGCCUAGUGGGAUUCAUAAUUACUUAGAGUGCAGGUCAUUCUUAUUUUUUCACUCUAAUCCCUUUUAUUCAGCACUAUGUGAGCAUAGUUUGUUGGAUGUGCAAGUUUUUGUGUUUGAACUACACAGUACAGUAUAUCAGAAUGUGAAAUCUAGCUAAUUUGACAUCUUUCUGUUGGAGGGUCGUCACUCUCCAUUGUCCCCGCCACAUCUGCCGAAGCUUACCUAAUGUCAUGUUCAAACAGUCAUGGGAGGUCUUGGGGGGGAUCUGGGUUUUAAUUUCAUUUUUUGAAAAUGCGAUGGCUGUUCAAGCAGUUGCUCAGAUCACGGCUGCCUUGUCGAGAAGAAACGGAGAGAAAAAACUGAAAAAAGCAGCCAAAAGGAGGCAGAGGGAGAAAUUGUUAAGAGCAGGAGGUAGAGGUGAAUGUUUGUCUUAUCGUUGUCCAGCAGACUGAGGUGCGACAGCGACAAUAACAACACUUUGUGUCACAGACGAAAACAGGAUCUUCAUGCCAGGGUGCUGGAGGUAAAGUCGGUGCAGGUCGUCCUCCAUGUUGACCAACUUCAUGCUGAUGACCUCCCGCAUGCUGCUGCCGCCACAGUGGAUGAUGAGGACAUCUGAUGGUGCACCUCUUUGCAGGGAGGGGAAAAGAAGGGGAGAAGCCAACCAGACCAAGAGACAUCUGGCAGGGUGAAGAUGCUUCCUAAGCUCUCUGGGAACCAUGCUGGACACAAGCUGUCACCAAUGAUCCACACUGCAACUAUGGGUAUAUGUGAUGGCCUAAACCACACAGGUUAACAGCCAGCAAUGGUAAUACCGCACACAAGCUAUGUUUUAAGUACACAAGUUAAGUUAUUUUUGCAGUUGGCCACACCCAAAUAAUUCAUGAUUUCAAAACACAGACCACAUAGUUUAUUUCAGGUAAAAUAUACAUUUAUUUGCUUUAGCCAUACACUGUUUAAAUGGAGUGCACACAUUUUCAUAUUGUAGGGUUAUAUAAACAUUUUCUGUUCUAUUAAUCAUUGUUUCUUUGUUACCAUGUUGGAGAGAGGUCUGUCCUGGAGGAAGAAAGGCAUGGCCAAGGGUGGAGGACUGUUUUAUCCAGUGGCCUGCCAAUCAAGCCGUACCAUGGGCUGCCAUGUUGGAGGGGGAUUUUGGGUUUAGUUUGUUUUACUUUGUUGUCCAUUUUGUUUUCCCCUUAUGUGUAAAUUGGUAUGGCCAAGACACUAUAUAUGUUCCCUUGUGUCUCAUUCAUUUAGGUCAGUUUGUUCAGUUCAUAUCCUGUUUUGUUGUAUGCUGUUUUGCGUAUAGUUCUAUUUUGUUGGCCUCUUUUAUAGGCCUAGAUGUUAAGCUUUUGGUUUCUAUUCAACUUUUGGGGGGUAAAUAAAAAAAACAAACCCUGUUUUUGAAGAAA